GAUCACCAGCUCCAAAAGGAGUCAGUGAAUGUAGUGGGAGGGUCUUCUUCUUGAUGUCGACUUUUUAAGAAAGGGAAGAAGAAUAAGAAGAACAAAAAAAGAGUGCAAAGUACUGGGGCACCCAAAUUUAGUCAGACCAAAAAAUCCAAAUUCGAUCAAAUUCAGGCAGAAUGCUUCUAUUGCAAGAAGAAGAGGCACUGACAGAGGAAUUAUCCUCAGUUCAUUACCUCUUUGGAUCCAAAU
rnacentral:lncRNA from 1 species